GAGUCGUGCUAACUGGAAGUAGAGUGGGCUGGAAAUCUUAAAGAGAGGCGACAAGACUGACUCCAGAAGCACAGGUCCCGGAACAGACAGACCCCAGAGACUCGCAGUCUAAAGCAGAUUGCCCUGUCGUGAAGAAACCCCUUCGGAAGACCCGAAGCAACGGUCUUCCUGCAGAGAGAAGAAAAUGGCUCAUGACCAGCCUCUGCUGGUUGUGCAGGAGGCCCUGAGGAAGUGCUUCCCUGUGGUGGAGGAACAGCAGAACCUGUGGCAGAGCACCCUGCAGGACUGCUCGCCCCUCCUGUCCUCUCUCAGUAACCUGGCUGAGCAGCUGCAAGCCGCACAGAGUCUGCGCUUUGAGGAUGUGCCAGCCCUGCGUCCCUUUCCAGACUUACAGGAGCGGUUGAGGCGCAAGCAGCUGGAGGCUGGUGACGUUGUUCUGGACAAGCUAGCUGAGCGGCUAGCCACCCUCCUCAAGGUCCGUAACACCAUCAGCAGCCACGUGGAGCAGGUGUUUCAGGCCUACGAGCAGCAUGCGGCUGUGCUAGACAUUGACACCGUCCUGCGCCCCUCAGUUGUGAGCCCCUCUGUGGCUGACAUGUUGGAGUGGCUGCAGGAUAUCGACAGACAUUAUGGAAGCUCAUAUCCUUCGAGUGCUUCCUGACUGACUGCCCAGAGCCGCCCCUAGAGGCUGCAGCAGGUGCAGACUUCACAGGGUCAGCAGGCUGUAUAAUUCACAGGGUCAGCAGGCUGUAUAAUUCACAGGGUCAGCAGGCUGUAUAAUUCACGGGGUCAGCAGGCUGUAUAAUUCACGGGGUCAGCAGGCUGUAUAAUUCACGGGGUCAGCAGGCUGUAUAAUUCACGGGGUCAGCAGGCUGUAUAAUUCGUUGCAGUUCUCUAGUGCUCAGACUUGGAUUCUUCUUGCACUUGUCUUUUGUUAACUAGUCAUUCCUUAGAGUUUAUUUAUCUGCUAGGCACUACUCUUAAGUGCUGGGAGCAGGCAUAAAAAGGGGGACUGCAUAGUGUCAGAUGUGGUGAGUGCUAAAUAAGGCAGAGCAGGUGAGGGGAAUGUGGGGCUGUGAUUUUAAUAGUGUGGUCAGUGCAGGGACCCAUGAGGCAGUGACAUCCUGAGACAAUGAUGCUCACAGCAUUUGAGCCAAGUUUGCAAGAGGGAAGGAAUGAGCCAUGUGGGUGUUUGGAAGAAGAGUGGUCCAGGCAGAGGCUACAUGGCGUGAGCUUGUCUGGUACAUGUAAGAACUGCCAUAAAGCCAGUGGGGGCAAGGGCAGGGCAGGGCCGGGCAGGAGGAGAGUGACAGAGGGCCUUGAUUUUUGAGAAGGAUCUUGAAGGUUUUGGCUGUUACUCUGAAGUCAAAGUUCUCAGAAGCUUUAAGCAGAACCAUGUGGUCAAGGCCUAUGCUUAACAGUGCUGUGUUCUGAAGAACAGUUGGCGUGGCGGGAAGCAAGCCUGAGAGCAGGAAAUUAGCCGCAGUCCUGACCUUUUCUCCAUUCGUGCCCAUGGCUGUCAUCUGACCCUGGUUUUGCUCCUGGUCUUGAGUCUCAGUUUCCUGUGCUGCCUCCAGCUGGCUAGCUUAGUGAACUCCAAAUUCAAGUUUAAAGCUGAACAUGGACCAGCAGUGCCCACUGUGUUACUGAUUUUCAUGUUGUGAUUAAUAUCGAACACGAAGCAGGACAGACAGAUUUAUUUCAGGUCAUAGCUGAGGGAUAUGUCCGUCACGGAGGGAAGCGCACAGAGACAGGAGCUUAAGCCACUGGUCACAUUGCGCCUGCAUCAGGACGCAGGGACUGCUGACUGCUGGCGCUCUGUUCACUUUCUGUUCAUUCUGGGACCCCGGCCUGUGGACUGACACCGUCCACAUUCAGAGGAGUCCUCCCACUUCAGUUAAACCUUUCUAGAGACAACAUCACAGAUGCAACCUGUAUCAUGUUUCCAUGACGAUUCUAAAUCCAGACAAGUUGACAAAGGAGAUUGUCACCCAAUCUAGAUAUGUAGGGACGAUCUUCCUCCUGUCCCUCUGUUUCCUAUUAUAACUGCAAUAGUGGUACUAGGUGUGCUAGUGGCGCCGCUAACCCUGAUAUCGCUAAGCACUGCCAUAGGCUAGGCGCUGGAGGCCCUGGUUGGCUCUACUCUCCUGCCUUGAUUUCUAAUCACAUUACUGAGAUGGACCACAUUCAACAGUAGUCCCAUAAGAGCAUAUGACCUAGUGACACAGAUAUCUUGUAAGUUCCUUUUUCUUCUGAGCAGUCCUUAACUUCUGGGAAGGUACCUGAAGAGAAAGUACCUCCUCUCCUCCAUCCACUGGGGAGACUUGGCCAGCAUCCAAGCACUGCCCAAGGCCUGGGACCAGAUUUCAGAAAAUGAGUGCCAAACUCUUGUGUCAGGUACUGGUGUCCGUCAGUCCUGUGCUGCCUCUCUGGAGAGGUUAGACACACCCCCUCCGUGCUCUUGGGCCUUGAUAAACCUGAUGCUUUGUCCCUUGCUUCCUGUUCUAGAUGUCCUGGUGAGUGUCUCCUUCUUCCUGGAGGAGCCAGGAGGCUGUGCAGCGUCUGGAGAUCUGGAGCACCACAGCUGAGGGCUGCCAUUGCUACACUAGGCUAUUUCUAAGUGAGGGUCAGCAUUGCUACCUGACUCACUGGAAUAGCAGUGCCUAGGACUUCUCCGUGCUAGGCCAUGGCCAAGGGUCCAUGACAGCUGCACCUAUGACUCUGAGAAGCAGAUAGAGGCUGAGGAGACAGGAAAGGCAGUGCUGAUAAACAGUGUCCACCAAGGCAGGAAAGGGCAGAAUGCAAGGUUGUGUGGCCACCGCUGCCUAUGUCAUCUGAACCAUAGUCUCUGGUUGGCUCAGGUCCUGAUUCUGUGUGUGUCAGUAUCUGAGUCCUUAAUGGCUUAAAGAUAGGAGUGGGUCUGGGAGUCCAGGGCGGGAGCAGUGUGUGUGUCUGGGGGGAGGGGGAAAGUUGGGGGACAAAGUCAAUCACCUGCAAAACCCCAAAAAGGAAAGGACUGAAGAAAAGGGAACUUUUAAAAUGUUUACUCCUUCACCGAAGCUCAUUAUGAAGCCAGUUUCCAUUUCCAAAGUCAGCCACCAGGGGGCGAUGGUGCAGCGUGAGCGGUUCUGAAUGCCUUGUUCUUGAGGGAGGUCCCCUGUUGCUGUUAAAAGCCACUGAGGUGUCUGUGGGGAGCUGGGUAUCCCACCCAGGACUAGGGAGGCAAAGACAGGUGGGUCUUUGUGAUUUUGAGAUCACCUUGGUCUCUAUAGCUCCAGGUCAACCAAGGCCACAUACUGAGACUGUCUCAAAAAGGAAGACAAAAAGGUAAAGGGACCUUGCAUUGGCCACGGUCUUCUGAGUUUGGGGUAACCGGCCAGGGGAGGGAAUGCCGGCUGUGAUGGUUGGUUUUUAUGGUCCACUUGACAAAGCCACCUCGGAAGGGAGUCUCAGUGAGGAAUGUUCUAGAUUUGGUUGGCUUGCAGACAUGCAAGAUUUUCUUAACUGAGGUGAGAAGACCCAUCCUGAAUGUGAGUGGCAGCAUUUCAUGGGCUGGAGCCAGGAUCAAAGGAGAAAGAGCAGGCUAAGCACUUAGCAGGCAUUCACCUUUGAUGGUGAGUAUGCUGUGACCAGCAGCUGCUUCAGGUUCCUGCCACUGACUCUCCUGUAGUAAUGGAUUCUAACUUCAAAUUAUAAGCCCAAUAUCUGCCAAUAGGUGUUAUCAUGUUUUAGGGUUCUCUAAAGGAACAGGACUAGUGAUAACAUGAAUGAAUAUAAAGAGAGAGUACUGAGGGCAGCAAGAGUGAGGGCCGGCGUACCUAAAGCAAAAGCUUUCUUCUUCCAUAUGAUGAUAUGUGGACUCCCACCACAGGGUGUGGCCCAGAUAUGGGGUGGGUCCUACCCCCGAAUGAUCCAGAUUUAGAGUGGGUCUUCCCACCUCAAAUGAUCCAAUCAAGAAAGCCCUCACAGGCCUGCCUAGUUGCUUGAGUCUUAGUUGAUUCCAGAUGUCAAGUUGACAGCAAAGAUUAGCUAUCACAUGCAGUGCCGGGAAAGAGACUGAGAGGCAGCCUGGAGUGGUGCCGACCCUUGCCUUCUGUGCCACAGCCACUGCUCGGGGGUCUCAGCUUCCCAUGUGCUCUACGAGUCAGGGCUGCCGUGUACAGGGCGUAGUGCAGAGAAUGGGUUUAUUUUAGCUUUUGAUUUUACAAGAUUGGGUUUCUCUGUGUAGCCCUGGCUGUCCUGGAACUCACUCUAAACCAGGCUGAUCUCAAAGAUCCACCUGCCUCUGCCUCCUGAGUACUAGGAUCAAAGGCAUGCGCCACCACCACCCACCCAGCUAAGGAUGGAGACUUUUAAAAAGAAAGUGGCUUUGUUUUCUUACUAUAUUUUUUGUUUUCAAUUAAAGAAAAAAUUUAAAUACAGAAAAGUAUAAUGUAAAACCCACCCUAAUAUUUUGAUCUGUAUCCCUUUACUGUUCUUCACAAAUUUCAAAACAAAGACAUUGACACAAACUCAUUGUUUCUAAAUUUGUGGAUAGUUGGACAUCUGUAAAUAAGUCAAUAAAACUACUAUAUAGGCU
ensembl:processed_transcript 9930104L06Rik RIKEN cDNA 9930104L06 gene